CCACGCUGUCAUUGCUCCUGCACCUGCGCCGCCGACGGGAAGGGCACAGAAGAACCGAAAACCGGCGAGUUGACUCCCACCCACGAAGAAACAGCGCUGGCAGGGUACGAACGCCUGCAUCUUUCUAUUUUCCUUAUAUUUCAGCCGGAUUUAGAAUAGAUUGAGCACUUUUUUUGUUUCUUCUCCGGCGCCGGCGCCGGCGAUGUAUGUAUGACGAGGAGGCUGUGGAGUAGGCUCCGUCCAUGUGGGCCUACGAUUCGUCGAACCGCUGGUGUACCCGACCCAUUAUCGGAGUAACGCCUCUCCUCCCCUUCAACUGGGUGGCGUCGUAAUGACCAUGUGCAAAGCUGAAACUGCCAACGCCCUAAUGAUGGUGUUAUCUACUCUCGAUAAAUAUGUGGAGCGAGAAAUCUUCUUUCCCUUCGACCUCCCAUAGUUUAUCAGAGAUGCUGCUUGCUUAGGGGAUUGCUCACAGCAACUGGGUAACCUUAAUUUGCGACUAUGGCUGCUGGACUGGUGCACUAAUCAUUUCGCAAUGCCUAGCGGCAGGCUUCUGAUUUUCCCCGGUGGGUUGUGGUUGAUAUAAGUGAAGGUGACUGGCUUCAGUUGUAGUGAUUUUGCUGGCAAGUAAAAGCAAAUCAGUUCUUAGAUUGACAAAGAACUUGGAUUAGAUGAUGUUUUGCUGGUAUGGCAAGGAAGAGAAUGGGCUCUACUUCAGAUGCAAAUGAGGUGUUGUUAUUGAACUUUUGCUACUCCUGCAGAGUAGGAAUUUACUUCUUCCGGCAAUUAGGCACAUAGUACUGAAGAGUUAUUUUAGUUCAGAUCUAUCGUUCUCAAUAGACAUCAAUGAGGAGCAGUACAGCAUCUGCAGUUCGUCAGAUGUUCAGCGUCAAAUGUACCAAAAGAUUAUGUUCAUCUACUGGUGAGUGGAGAUAUCAAGUGUAAGCUAGGCAUGCAUCGGUACUUUGUAUCCUGUAGAAGGAACUGGUUGAUUGUGUUCCAUUCCUUAAGUUUGGCCCACAUUCACAGCUUCAGGGGUUAUCCAUAUGGUUUUCCACCUCCCAACAAAUAUACCAUCAGAUGCACUGCAGUUUGGAGAGUCAUGUGCCAGCAGAGAUCAGGACAGUUAAUUAACCAGAAGAGAUUGUAUUAAUGGUGUGUAUAUGAUUUUCAGUGCUGCUCCUAUGCUUUAGAGCUAAAUUACUUGCAAUAAAAAAUUCAAGUGUAUACUUUGGUAUGCAAUCUGGCAUUUGACUGCUUUAACAUGUUAAAAUCUUAAGCAGCAACAGUUGCUCUCUUGAUUUGGUUGCUAUGCAUUGGCCGGGCACCAAAUAUGCUCUUGGUACAGUUACCUUCAUCUCUUCCUGUACCAAAUCAUCUGAAAUUAGUUGAAGAAUCAAAAAUAUAGCCUAUUUUGGAGAAUGGGGAACCUGAAAGUACAAGCUCUAGAAGGACACAAGAACACAUGUCUGAGGCUGCAAUCAUUCCCUGGCUCUAAAAUCAAAUUUUGUAUGGAGUCAUUCAGAUUUUGGUUCUUUCGCGAGAGUUAUACUAUGAUUUAUGUUAUUGUUGGAGCAUAUGAUCUGCCUAUAUCAAUAACAGUGGGAAGAUCCAUAUCAGUAGUUACUGUGCUCCAUUUCCUCUGGCUAAUAAAAAAUAAUAUAGAAACAAGAAGAGAUGAGUUCUGUUCGAAGAUCUCUUCUUAUUUAGCUUUGUAAAUUCCCCAUCCGCCGUCAUGUGAUUUCACCCAUUGCUCGUUCUGCCUUGCAUGUAUUGCAGGAGUUCCAGCGCAUCAUUCCUGCUAGGGGCACCCAAAGUGAUAUUGUGCCUGUAGCUCAGAAGGUUCAGCAAACCUAAAAACGUUAGUAUCCGACCUUCAUAACUCAAGGAAAACAGAUAAAGUCUAGGGAGAAUGAGAAAGCAGAUAAAGGCCACAUGAUUCUGUCUGACUUUGUUUACACUGUAUCACAAUGUUUAUUAAACCAAAUUUGUGGUCAGCGGCAAUAAGCCACUGGCAUUA